UUUCCGGUUGAUCCCGCCGGAGGCCACUGCUAUCGGGGUUCGAUUAAGCCAUGCGAGUCGAGAGGGUUUAGACCCUCGGCGGACUGCUCAGUAACACGUGGAUAACCUGCCCUAAGGUGGAGGAUAACCCCGGGAAACUGGGGAUAAUACUCCAUAGAUUAGAGAUACUGGAAUGUUCUUUAGUCAAAAGUUCCGGCGCCUUAGGAUGGAUCUGCGGUCGAUUAGGUUGUUGUUGGGGUAACGGCCCAACAAGCCUGUAAUCGAUACGGGUUGUGGGAGCAAUAGCCCGGAGAUGGAAUCUGAGACAAGAUUCCAGGCCCUACGGGGCGCAGCAGGCGCGAAAACUUUACAAUGCAGGAAACUGUGAUAAGGGAACCCCGAGUGCCCGUAUACGCGGGCUGUCCAGGUGUUUAAAAGUCAUCUGAAGAAAGGGCCGGGCAAGACCGGUGCCAGCCGCCGCGGUAAUACCGGCGGCUCGAGUGGUGGCCACUAUUAUUGGGCUUAAAGCGUCCGUAGCUGGACUGAUAAGUCUCUUGGGAAAUCCGCCGGCUCAACCGGCGGGCGUCUAAGGGAUACUGUUGGUCUAGGGACCGGGAGAGGUGAGAGGUACUCCGGGGGUAGGAGUGAAAUCCUGUAAUCCCCGGGGGACCACCGAUGGCGAAGGCAUCUCACCAGAACGGCUCCGACAGUGAGGGACGAAAGCUGGGGGAGCAAACCGGAUUAGAUACCCGGGUAGUCCCAGCCGUAAACUAUGCGCGUUAGGUGUGCUGGUGACCACGUGUCAC
rnacentral:rRNA from 1 species